rnacentral:rRNA from 1 species
AGCGAACGCUGGCGGCAGGCUUAACACAUGCAAGUCGAGCGGGCGUAGCAAUACGUCAGCGGCAGACGGGUGAGUAACACGUGGGAACGUACCUUUUGGUUCGGAACAACACAGGGAAACUUGUGCUAAUACCGAAUAAGCCUACGGGAAGAUUAUCGCCGAAAGAUCGGCCCGCGUCUGAUUAGCUUGUUGGUGAGGUAACGGCUCACCAAGGCGACGAUCAGUAGCUGGCUGAGAGGAUGAUCAGCCACACUGGGACUGAGACACGGCCCAGACUCCUACGGGAGGCAGCAGUGGGGAAUAUUGGACAAUGGGGGCGAACCC